rnacentral:rRNA from 1 species
GAUGAACGCUGACAGAAUGCUUAACACAUGCAAGUCGAUGGGGAAGUGGUGCUUGCACCAUGGCAACCAUGGCGGACGGGUGAGUAACGCGUAAGGGACUUACCUGCAGGACUGGGAUAACAGGGGGAAACUCCUGACAAGACCGGAUAAUGUCAUGGAGCUGCCUGGCUUUAUGAUGAAAGGAGACGCCUGCGGAGAGCCUUGCGUCCUAUUAGCUAGUUGGUGAGGUAAUGGCUCACCAAGGCGAAGAAAGGUAGCCGGCCUGAGAGGGUGGACGGCCACAAGGGGACGGAGAUACGGCCCUUACUCCUACGGGAGGCAGCAGUGGGGAAUAUUGGACAAUGGGGGCAACCCUGAUCCAGCAAUUCUGUGUGCACGAAGAAGGUUUUCGGAUUGUAAAGUGCUUUCAGCAGGGAAGAAGUAAGUGACGGUACCUGCAGAAGAAGCGACGGCUAAAUACGUG